AGUGAACGCUGGCGGUAGGCCUAACACAUGCAAGUCGAACGGCAGCACAGUAAGAGCUUGCUCUUACGGGUGGCGAGUGGCGGACGAGUGAGGAAUACAUCGGAAUCUACUUUUUCGUGGGGGAUAACGUAGGGAAACUUACGCUAAUACCGCAUACGACCUACGGGUGAAAGCAGGGGAUCUUCGGACCUUGCGCGAUUGAAUGAGCCGAUGUCGGAUUAGCUAGUUGGCGGGGUAAAGGCCCACCAAGGCGACGAUCCGUAGCUGGUCUGAGAGGAUGAUCAGCCACACUGGAACUGAGGCACGGUCCAGACUCCUACGGGAGGCAGCAGUGGGGAAUAUUGGACAAUGGGCGAAAGCCUGAUCCAGCCAUACCGCGUGGGUGAAGAAGGCCUUCGGGUUGUAAAGCCCUUUUGUUGGGAAAGAAAAGCAGCAGGUUAAUACCCCGCUGUUCUGACGGUACCCAAAGAAUAAGCACCGGCUAACUUCGUG
rnacentral:rRNA from 1 species